AGAGGAAAAAAAAAGAACCCUUUCCCCUAUUCACGUAACUGCUCCUCCUCAACAAUCCCCUCCUUGAUGCCGCCGCUCACACCGCCGGACCCUCCUGCACGUCACCGGAAUCUUGUCGACGCCGCAACCUGAUUCGCGCAGCCACAGCCAAGUCGCGCCACCGUGUGCCGCCGUGCCCAGCCCCUGCCGCGAGCCACCUCCGUCCGCCGGCUCUCUCUCUCCUCCUUCUUGAAUUGGCGGAGAAUUCUCUUUAGGCGACUUUUGAAAGUGUUAAAGUGGCCUAUCGGUUUGUUUACACAAGUCUCUAAGGAUCAAUAAGCGUUGUCCAUCUACAGGUUUGAAGAUGAUGCAUCAUUGGGAUCGGGAUUAGAGAGCUUGUAGUUAUAUUUGUUUUAUUAAGUGAUUUGGGUUGUUAACUUGGAUUUGAAAGUUGUCGUACUAUUCGUAUUUCCUUAUUUCCGUUAAUUGGUUUUAGACUUAUGUAAUCGAUUAUUUAUGAACCUAAAAGUUAGUUUUAUGUUUUUCGC